UCAAAAUGGGCAGCUUUUUAUUUGCUUUUCAUUACAACUGAUGCUAUAGUAAAGCCAUAAACUGAUUAAACAGGGGUGUGCAAUAGGAUUUUCACUGUUCUAGACAAGAUUUGUCUGAUGUGCUUCCUGGUCCUGAGGGAGUAACAUAACUCAGGCUUAAGUGGAAUAUUCAGUUUCAUAAACAACUAACUGAAUGAAGUGCAUUUAUCUUUUGUUUGAAACUGAGAAUGCUGGGGGCAGGAGAGGCACAGAGAAGAGAGAGAGGGGAGAAAGAAUUGCUUGAAUUAAGUAUCCUAUUCUAGUUUGUUAAUAUGCUAGAAGAUAAUUCAGACUUUGUUCAUACAAGUAUUUCUGCAAAAUACAGUGAUUUCUAGGAAAGCUAUGAAGUUUAUCACUAAAUAAAAUCUCCCUGAACACAAAUACAGAGAAUGAGCACAGAUCAUUUACAACCUAAAUGUUUCUAUGAUUCUCUGAUCCUAGAAGAUACACCUUUGGUAUCCUUUAUUAGAAAUUUGUCUUUGUUAAAUAACUGACUUGUAUUAGUUGAUUCUGACUCACUUGCAACAAAAUUCUUGCCAUAUAUUUUAUGUUUUCUCUCUUAAGAAUGUGAUUUCUUUCUUCAUAACCUUGAGGGUUUGACCCCAUGCAUUUCUCAGAACAAAUGUUCCAGGUAAGUUCCAUUGAUGAUUGUUGUCACUCCAUGCAAAAUCCAAACUUAGUCACCACGUUCCUAAAUCUCUACGGUAUCACUGGAUUUCACCUGCCUGAUGCAAAGACAAACAAAAAGAAAGACUGGAAUGCACAUUUCCAUUGGAAAUAAGUUACUCUGUUUCAUGGGGUUUGUGCCAAAUGAACACCACGUUGUGCAUCAAUGCAAAGGACAGUUGUGAAGCAGAGAUUUUGGGCUGUGGAGUCUCCAACACUGCAGGUAUGGAACUGAUCCCAUUCUGAGAGAGGUGGUAGACUGGAUAGCCACUUGAGGUUUCUUCUUCUGCACUCCUUUUAUUGAUUCUUCUACAGUCCAAUAAAAAUUGUUAUUAUAUAAACAUCUGUGAGAGGAGAAGCUGAAACAGCAAGGCAAAAAUGAUAAUCACAAUAAAAAUUGCUGAAGAAAAGGUCUCCUACCAUAGCUCAACUGCCUGAGCAGUCACUAAAGAAAAUAAGUGACUAUUUGUUUUUUUUGCUUUAGAGACAUGAGAAAGGAAACAAGAAAAAACAUAGAAAAGAAAAAAUACUGACUUUCCCAAUUGUAUUAAUAAUCCAUCUUAUUUCACCAGCCAUAUUCAGAUUUCUAUUAAAAAUAGUAUCUUUUUCCCACAAAGAACAGUACUGUAGAUGUGGUGAAAGUGUUCAUUGUGCUUGCUCUUUAAAAAGCACCUUACUAAAUUAAAUUUAAAAAUGAAGGAAAGAAACACUACAGUGCCUCUCAGGUGGAGUCCCUAUGAAUCUUAGGCUGUCACAUUUAACCAUAUACUCCAAGUUAUAUGGAAUUACAAUGAGAACAUAGAAAGAUUUAGUAAGGAUAGAGAGUCCUAGAGAGUGAAAACAGUGCUGAAUGAUGCUGAUAACUGCACUGGAGUUCACCAGACUACUAAGGCUUCUAUGUGAGCAUGCUUCAGAGAGAACAACAAAAGUACAUAGUAAUAUAUGUAGUUUCUACAAUUACUACGUAAAUACUCACUCAUUAAAAUACAGAAAAAAAACCAAACAAAGCAGUGUUAUACCGGAAUGCAAGAUGAGUGAACAAUUUUGCAGAAAGGAUGCCUGACUGAAAAGCAUGAGCCACAUGCUUGCCCUCUGCAAGAGACCUCAGAAUACUCAUGAAAGGUAUAGUAUUUCGAAUUACUGAUCAAAACCUUUAACAUUUUACAUUUGGUCAAAGAAUGGUACUUGAACACUCUGUUCAUGACUUAUUUUUCAGGAAUUCCAAAGCAUGAAAUAGUUUGAAAGACUUCAAAUAUGUGGACCUGCUAAUUGGUUGCAGGCUAUUUUAUUACAUUUGCACUUUUCAAGGCAAAUUUGGAAUGUGUGGUUUGCAGCUGCUGAACUGUGUUCAGAGUUCUGCAAGAUAUCACUUUGGAUUCCUACUUGUAUCAUUUAUGUGUUUAAAUCCAAAAGAAGGAGAAAAAGUGGAGAAGAGUGAAAAACAAAACCACAGUGGAAAAAGAACAUGUCAUGGACACCUUUUGAGUUCAAGCAUGAUCAUCCCAUGCUGUCAAGGCAUUUAUCUAAGCCUUACAGUCUGGCAGAUAGAGUGGUUACACAAAGGGUGUAGAGCUGUUUUCAUCUUUUCAGAAAAAAAAGUAAAGAUUCAGUUCAAUAAAAAAUAUGGAAUAUUACCAGCUGAGUCUUGUAUUUCUCUAAAUGGUUUCAUAAUACAAAAUGAGCAAUAAGGAACACACAG